rnacentral:rRNA from 1 species
AAUGGGGGCAACCCUGAUCCAGCCAUGCCGCGUGAGUGAAGAAGGCCUUCGGGUUGUAAAGCUCUUUCGGCCGGGAAGAAAUCGUGUGGGCUAAUACCUCACAUGGAUGACGGUACCGGAAUAAGAAGCACCGGCUAACUACGUGCCAGCAGCCGCGGUAAUACGUAGGGUGCGAGCGUUAAUCGGAAUUACUGGGCGUAAAGCGUGCGCAGGCGGUUUUGUAAGACAGGCGUGAAAUCCCCGGGCUCAACCUGGGAACUGCGUUUGUGACUGCAAGGCUAGAGUAUGGCAGAGGGGGGUGGAAUUCCACGUGUAGCAGUGAAAUGCGUAGAGAUGUGGAGGAACACCGAUGGCGAAGGCAGCCCCCUGGGCCAAUACUGACGCUCAUGCACGAAAGCGUGGGUAGCAAA